rnacentral:rRNA from 1 species
AUUACCCAAUCCCGAUACGGGGAGGUAGUGACAAGAAGUAACAAAGCAAGUGGCUACGCCAUUUUGCUAUUGGAAUGAGUAGAAUUUAAAUCUCUUUUCGACUAUCAAUUGGAGGGCAAGUCUGGUGCCAGCAGCCGCGGUAAUUCCAGCUCCAAUAGCGUAUAUUAAAGUUGUUGCGGUUAAAAAGCUCGUAGUUGGAUUUCUUCCAGGGGCAGUCGGUCCACACUACGUGUGCGUAUCUGAUUUGACUUUGGAAUCCUCUUGGGGAACAUCUCUGCGCUUAACUGCGUGGAAUGGUAUUCAAGACUUUUACUUUGAGGAAAUUAGAGUGUUCACGGCAGGCAAUCGCCCUGAAUACAUUAGCAUGGAAUAAUAAUAUAGGAUUUCGGUUCUAUUUUGUUGGUUUCUAGAGCUGAAAUAAUGAUUAAUAGGGACACUUGGGGGCAUUCGUAUUAUCACGUCAGAGGUGGAAUUCUUGGAUUGUGUUACGACGAACUACUGCGAAAGCAUUUGCCAAGGAUGUUUUCAUUGAUCAAGAGCGAAAGUAAGGGGAUCGAAGACGCUUAGAUACCGUCGUAGUCUUUACCAUAAACUAUGCCAACUAGGGAUUGGAGGGCGUUCUUCAUUCGACUCCUUCAGCACCUUAUGAGAAAUCAAAGUUUUUGGGUUCCGGGGGGAGUAUGGUCGCAAGGCUGGAACUUAAAGGAAUUGACGGAAGGGCACCACCAGGAGUGGAGCCUGCGGCUUAAUUUGACUCAACACGGGAAAACUCACCAGGUCCAGACAUAGU